UCCCCGCCUGUAUUUAUCCACGCGCGCAAUAUCCAGCUCCUCCCUACACAGGCAUCUGCCACCCAUCGCCGAGGUGCACAAUAGGGAGGAGUUUCUCUUUGUGUGCCGUUCUUCCUUGCUUCUCUGACCUCCUUCUACCACCUCGCCCCUCCCUCUCUCUGCUUGGGGGUGUCCUUGGCAAGGUUUGAGAAUUCGGCAUUUACUCGUCGCGACUCCAUCCGUUCUUCGCCGUUUCUCCUGUGCCCAUCGUCAUCAUGGAGGCUGUCGCGUGGACCCCCGACGUGGUCGAGGAUCUUCUCUUCCGGCAGUUUAUCAAGGAUGAGGACAUCUCCCGCCAACUUCCGCCUGCUCCGCAAGUGUCCAGCGAAAACUUCCUCGAGAGGUACGACCAGGCAACCAAGAUCCUCUUCUCAUACGUGCGCAACGGCCCGGUGGCGGCGCUCGCCUCGCAGAAUGUGAACACCGCCGCCGUCGGCAAGUACGGCGGUGCCACCCCGCUUAAAGGUUUCGUAGGGCGCACCCCGGCAACUAAGCCUGUUCCACCAGAGUCGUCACGGCCAUUUGCUCGGACGGCAACACCGACGCCGGCACCCACUAGCCGCGCACCGUCGGUGCCGAAAGCGACCGCCAGCUCUCCCCCACCGGCCAAAGCAAAGCGGCAGCGUGUGGAGUGGCCAGCGGAUGUGCCUACCAAUCAGAUGCUGAAGAGCAACAGCCGCUCCAAGGUGGCGCACCUGACGGCGAAGCGCGUGGCGGCCCAGCAGGGCGUCGACCCCGAUCUUAUUUUUACCCAGAACUGCGGUGAUCUUCCCCUCAGCGUGAUCUUCGCGUCGUACCCCAAGGCGCUCAAAUCCGUCUCUGCCGUUCGAAACGCCAGCGGGGACUGGCGCACGGACACCUUCACUGUUGAGGAGGAAGUCUCCUACAAGAAGGACUUGGGCUACGUGCAUUACGGGCCCAGCCAAUGCACGUAUGGUGACUGGCUUCCUUCCCAGUCGUGAGUAUAGGCGUGCCACGGAGGCAGUGAAGGGGCCCAAAAGAGUUCGAGGCGCCGAAACUUGCGAGUGCGAGGCAAUAUACGGGGGCCGAUGAGCUGUGUGUCGCGCCGCAGCGUAUCCCUACACGAGAGGAGUCAGCUACGAGGCACGCGCACUCGUUGACCAACCACAGGCCAUCGCCAGUGCAGCACGACUUCCAACGCCGGCAACAGAACAUCACAUACGGCUCAUAUUCGUUUAAAGUCCUGCGCAUGUCAUGUGCCGGUGUGUCCUGUGUGCAAGUUUGUUUGCUCUUCUGAGAACAGAGGAGGGAGAUCACGCUAGCACUGGGUGCCGAUUGCCGCGUGUGCCCGGGGUGGCUACAUGGCGAUCGCCACGCCUUCGCGCCAUCGCUUCCGCCUUUUCUCUUUUGGCCGAGCCUAUUGUAUUUUUUUUUAGUGUGUCUCCCUUCCUUCCCCUUUAGACUUUUAGACUGUGCGUUGAUCUUCACCUUCUUGAUUGCCUUCCUUUCUCUCUUCGAUGCGUUCUCUGCUUGGGGGUGCCUCCAGUCUGCUGUGAGUGCGUCAUGCUGGGCAGCUCGAUCCAUCACCUGUACAGCGUGCGGGAUGCGCUCCAUCGGACCAUACAAGCGCACACGAACAGUAACGAACGCAUCCAACCGAAACGUCUUGUAUACCCAUCUUCUCUAUUUUGCCCUCCCUUCUUGUGUGUUGAUGGCGACGAGACCUAG
rnacentral:misc_RNA from 1 species